CACGUGGUUAUGGAUGACCAAUGGAAGAGAUUCUAGCAUUUGAAAGCGCUGGAAGCGAUGGGAUUGUGAUGUACAAUAAAAGCAGUAAGAGAAGUGUAUUUAUCGACACAUUCUUUUAGCAUAUCUCCAGUUGUGUCCAGGACUGCAAACAGACGAGGUCCACGAUGAAGGUAGCUACCAUAAGCCUGUUGUCUAUUGUGUGCCUUCUGGGAGCAUUCCUUGGUAUCGAAGCGAACGGUUAUGGCGGUGGCUAUUCGUACGUUCCCGUUAGUCCAGGUUACAAUGGCGGUGGCGGUGGCGGGUUCGGCAAUGGAGGAUUCCUUGCUCUGAUUGGCUUCCUGUUCAUAUUUUUGCUGUUGUUUAGCGGGAAUGGAUUUUUCAAUUCAAGCACAUCCAGUCAAGUCAGUAUCAUACAAGGAUAGAAAAACGGUACAAAUUUUGAAAAGCAAGAUGUUUAACAUUGCCACACGACACGAGAACGCAACAAAUAUCAUCAUCACUAGCUGAGGGGACGCUUCCAUAUUUCUUGUACAGCUUUUCUUUUAUUUUGAAAUAAAUGUUAUUUCUGUUGAA